AAGGAUUUAAGUUAAGCUAAACUAUCAACCUUCAAAGUUGAAAAUAGAUUCAAU
rnacentral:tRNA from 1 species